GGUGACCCAAACCCUCACCAGAGUAGCAAUUGGAGGGCAAGUCUGGUGCCAGCAGCCGCGGUAAUUCCAGCUCCAAUAGCGUAUAUUAAACUUGUUGCAGUUAAAAAGCUCGUAGUUGUAUUUUUGCGUUGACGGUUUGACCAUUUGGUUGGUUAUUUCGUUUUCGCUUUUGGGAAUUUCCCUUUUUACUUUGAGAAAAUUAGAGUGUUUCAAGCAGACUUUUGUCUUGAAUACUUCAGCAUGGAAUAAUAGAGUAGGACUUUGGUUCUACUUUGUUGGUUAUUGAACCUUAGUAAUGGUUAAUAGGAACGGUUGGGGGCAUUC
rnacentral:rRNA from 1 species